GUGGGGAAUAUUGCACAAUGGGCGCAAGCCUGAUGCAGCAACGCCGCGUGAGGGACGACGGCCUUCGGGUUGUAAACUGCUUUUGUACGGAACGAAAAGCCUCUGGUUAAUACCCGGGGGUCAUGACGGUACCGUAAGAAUAAGCACCGGCUAACUACGUGCCAGCAGCCGCGGUAAUACGUAGGGUGCGAGCGUUAAUCGGAAUUACUGGGCGUAAAGCGUGCGCAGGCGGUGAUGUAAGACAGUUGUGAAAUCCCCGGGCUCAACCUGGGAACUGCAUCUGUGACUGCAUUGCUGGAGUGCGGCAGAGGGGGAUGGAAUUCCGCGUGUAGCAGUGAAAUGCGUAGAUAUGCGGAGGAACACCGAUGGCGAAGGCAAUCCCCUGGGCCUGCACUGACGCUCAUGCACGAAAGCGUGGGGAGCAAACAGGAUUAGAUACCCCGGUAGUCC
rnacentral:rRNA from 1 species